CCGGUCUCUCUGGUGUGGGGGAGGGCGGGGCCAACGAGCUGGGAACUUGCGGCGGGUCUCUCCGCCCCCCCCCCGCCUUCCCAGGCUCCUGCCUUUACCUGUUGGCGGCCCCUGAGGGGAGAGAGCGGCGCGCGCGCUGAGGUAACCCGGCAGCGCGCUUGGAGAACUUCCUCGAGCGAAGUUGCGCGCAGCCCGUGAGGGAGCUCGGCCGAACUGGACUCCUGCUCGCCUCUCCUUUGCUCCACGGGAUAAAGAGGUGUGUCUGGGCGAGAGAGAGAGAGAGCCUUGCAACAUGGCCUCCUCCUCCUCCUCUGCCUCCGCCGCCUUUUCUCCAGGCGGGGAUGCCCGAGAACUGGACCAGGUGAGCCACCGGGCGGCCCUUUCCCCCCUCUCCCCCCACCCUCCUGUUUCUUCGUGAACUUUCCCUCUUCUGCGUCUCUCUCUCUCUCUCUCUCUCUCUCUCUCUCUCUCUCUCUGUCUCUUGCCGCCUUCCGGGAAGAAAAGCUGAAGCGCAGUGACCUUUCCGUGCUGCGCUCAGAGGAGCCGAGGGUUGACUCGAGGCGUUGGUCGCACCUGAGGCGAGCGCGCUUCGGGCUACAAGCCUGUCGGGAGCCGCGCGGAAGCCCACGAGGCUUGCUUCUGAGGAGAGACAGAACUGCCGCGUGUGAGGCGGUUCGCGCCCUCAUCCCGGGACCGAGUCCCGCCGUUCGCGGCGGCGGGUCCUGCUUCCCAUUGAGGAGGCAGCGUGAGGAGGGAAGCGGGUUCUCAGGUUUCCCCUACAUGAAAAAAAUCCUGUCCUGCUGCGAGCUUGAAGGGUUUGAAGUAAGGAAACAAGCGAGGACUGGGAUAGGAUUAUUUGUUUAUGCCCCACCUUUUCCUCUGAGGGACUCCAGGCGGUUUACAGACAAAAAGAAGAACCAGCUAAAAACAUAAAAAACAAAACAGUCAUUUUUUUAAAAAGGCAGUUCACCAUUGAUAGAAUUAAAGCUAUAUAAAAUUUAGUUUUGGCUUAGCCUUAGCAGGGACUACUUUCUUUUAAUUAGUAUCCAUGUGCUUCACAAAUAAAAUUAAGAGCAAGAGUUAAUGGCUUAACUGACAAGAGAUCCAAAUCUAUGAGUGGUAUUAAACUAAGUUUUACUCAGAGUAAGCCCAUUAAUGAACAUGGCUAAGUGAAGUCUGUUAAUUUCAACAGGUCUAUUCUGAGUAAUACUCAACUGUGUUAAGUGAUCCAAAUUCUUAAGAGAGUGUAUUCUGGAAGUGUCUUGCUGGGUCAUCCUAAAGUCCAUUCAAUCCAGUGUUUGUUUUGGAGCAGGUUCUCUUCACUGUUAAGCUGAUGCUAGGCUACCUACCAGAAAUAGGCUGGAGGUCCACAUUGGCGGUCUAUAGUCUGUCAAUCUCUGUGUUAGAAGUUUUGUGCUCUUUAUAACAUAAUAGUGGGUGUAGUUCUCUUUGAACCUGCUGGCUCUGUGUCAAAUGCAAUCGCACCUGUAGCUUCAGGUAAGCCUUGUCAACAGCAUCGCUUGCCUGGGAGGUGAAGAUACUCCUAACUGAAGAGAGCAUGGUGGCAAAUCCAAUAAGAACUUACUUGAAAGGAAAUUCCUUUGAUCUCAGUUGGACAUGCUUGCAAAUAAACUUGCAUAUGAUGGGACUGAGAAACUCUCAUUGCUGCCUUGCUUGUGCUUGCAGUGUGCUUGAAUGCAUAAGGAAGCUGAAAUGUUAGUGAAUGGGUUUAGUAAAUACAACAGGGAUUUAACUUUGAAUGUUGUUCAGUAAUUUGUGUGGAAUGUGGUCCAUGUUCUGUGGACCACGGUCACAAUAUCAGAGGGCCUGUUAAUGCUUCUGAGUGUUGUUUGACAGUCCCGACUGAGUUAAAAUCUGGAGGCAAACUCUGAAGACUGGGUUAGCACGCCUGUCAACUGACUUUCCCAUGUUGUGCCUUGAACCGAAUCAGUUUCAGCUGUCAGGCAAGUCUUUCUGUUUAAGCUGAGAACAUCCCUUGCACAUUUUAGCACCCACAGUUGAAUCUUUGGGACAAGAGGGGGAUAUCUUUCCUUUUAGUGAGGCGAACCUCACACACAAACCGCUUUGUGUGUGGCCUGGAUAUAUUCCCAUUGCUUUUGACGUGGGACUUGAAGGACCAUCUUGCAAAAAUACAGUGUAAUAGAGGCAUCCUUUGAAUUACUUCAAACAGAAUGAUAAUGAACCCAGUUUUUAGUAUGUGGCAUAGAUGUGCGCCAAGUGGGAAAAUCCACUUCUUGGGAAUUAGCAGUGAAUAAAUUUAAAGCUAAAUGGACAAGAUUUCUUGCACUGGUACUGGAAGUUCACUAGUUUAAACUGUGUUUUGUAUUAGUAGUCCAAAGAAACCAGUCGCCCUGCUGGUGUGCGGGCUGCUCUACUUUUUGUGGGUAUUGCUUGUGUAUAACAAAUUACUUAAUACCUGGUGAAAGAAUAUAACAUUGUUUUUGUUUCCAAUAUGUACUUCUCCUUCCUCUUCACUUCAGGUUGGUUAUCAAACUUUAUGGUGUGGUUUGAGUCCAUUAUUGUAUCUGGUAUAAACAAUGCAUUUUUCUGGAAUUAAUCACAACUUUCCUUGAAUUCUGAUUAAAGCUGCUCCUCACCUCCAUCCUUGGUGCCAAAAGUUGGUUUAUAUCUCCUUUUAAUAAUUGUGGUGUGUAUAUUUCAGAAAAGUAAUCGAUAACAGUAUUUAAGAUACUGUUAAGGUUUUAAAUAUCAACAAGCCCAUCUUUGUUUUUCUCUUUCUCCACAAGAAAUCAUUGUAGCCUGAAAGAAAUUGGGACAACAUCUUUUCACUAUAUAUCUUGUUUUACUGUUUUUCUACUCUCUGCUAUACAGAAAAGUGUCAACAGUCUUAAAAUACAUUAAUCAAUUGCAAGUCUGAGCCACAAUUACUACAAAUGAGAAGCCCUUCCAGAAAGGUGGUGAGGCAUAUGUCAGAAGCGGGGAUGACAUUUCCUCAUACAAUUUGACACGAAGCUAAUAAAUACCCACAAAAUACUUCUAUUUGUCAAAGGUUGCAAUGUUAUAGGGUCAUAGGAAUGAGUUUUCUGUCUGGCUUUAGUUUUCCCAUUGGCAUGAUUUGUCUCAUUUUACUGGAUCCUUUCGAAGCUAUCAGUUCUUCAGGUGUUUAGGGUUGUACCCCAAUGCUUCACUCUCUGCUCUGUUCUUAGUGGUGUAAGUUAAUUUGUGGGCAUUGGCUGUGUGAGUAUGCUCCUUUCACUCUUUGGUUGCUGAUGGUUUAUCCCACAACGUCCCUCCUGUCAUCACGGUACAUUUGACAGAUAUACUGACCAGCAAAUCAGAUGCUCACACAGCAGUAUGCCUUGCCCUGCCCAAUGUUUCAUGCAGGUGUCUGCUUCAUUCUUACAAAGAAGCAAAAUCAGUGUUUCCUUUUAAUGUUGAAAAGCUGCUUCAUGGAGAAGUAGGCUAGUGGCUUCAUCAAGUUCUAGCCUAUCAGUUGAAACACUAGGUUUCAACUGAGCUCACUCUGAGGUAGAAGGUCAUACAUAUGACCAAAAUACAGUGGUACCUCGCAAGACGAAUGCCUCGCAAGAUGAAAAACUCGCAAGACGAAAGAGUUUUUCGUUUUUUGAGUUGCUUCGCAAGACGAAUUUCCCUAUGGGCUUGCUUCGCAAGACGAUAACGUCUUGCAAGUUUGUUUCCUUUUUCUUAAAACCGUUAAUACCCGUUAAAACCGUGCUUCGCAAGACGAAAAAAUUGCAAGACGAAAAAACUCACAGAACGAAUUAAUUUCGUCUUGCGAGGCACCACUGUAGUAUGAAAGCACAAUGGCUUCAACCCUAACAUUGCAUACCGCUGGAUCCAACUUACUCACUAUUCCCCUUCAAUUAUUUAUUGGUUUUUUAAAAAUGAUAAUUUGCAGAAAAAAACAUUUCCAAGUGGUAUGCAGCAUAUUAAAAGUAGAAGAAAGUAUAAAAUACCAAAGAAAUGCACAAAUCUGAAGGGCAUACAAAAUGAGAAUGAAAGGCAAUGUUGUUACUCCUCAAAGACUUGUCUGAAUAAAUGUUUAAAUAAAAGGGGGGGGACACAUCACAUGCCACACAUGUCAGAAGGGAGUAUGCACCAUAAUGUGGGUGCCAUCACAGUGAAUGUGCUGCUCCAAGUAGUUGUCCAAUGAACCUUGGAGGUGAGUGGCACCAGCAGGAAGGCCUUUACCAGUGACCUCAGUCACUGGAAGAAGGCAGUUUCUUAAAGAGGCAGGCUCUAAGUUGUUUAAAGCUUUGUAUACAAAUGACAAAAUCUUGAGCUUUGUUUGGUAGCAAAUUGUCACCCAGUUUUGCCUUUAGUGAAACAAUGGACCACUUCGGAUGAUAUUUAUGAAGUUUCAUCCCCAAGCCCUGCACAUGGACUUGGGGGGCUGAUCACGCCUCCUUGGGGAUGACCCAUCCCAUCAAGGUGACCUUCACACAUAGAAUCCUUUGUGUGUAGGUCAAAGUCAGAUGGCAGACUCCUGGAUUGCAUGAUGUUGGUCCAUGUACAUGGGAUUGUACAUACAUAGGCUCCAUUUGGAUGGGGUAGCCUGGUAUAGAUGGUAGAGGCAGGUGAGCAUGCUAGCUUCACAUAUAAGGUUGGAGCAGAGUCCUGAAGUAUUGUGCAAACCCAACUGAUGUAUGGAUAUGUUACUAUUACAAUAGCUGGUGGCCCCGGUAAUGCAAAGGAUCUAUCACUGGCCUAUAACAAUGCAAACAUUUUCACAUGAGGCUUAAAAUGGCUCGCCAUUGUAAAAGAAUAUAUUGCAAUGCAGCACAUUUUUAUUUCUCCUCUGCAGUCUAUAUCAGGUUGACAAAAAUGUUUGUUGCAAAUAAUGCUUUUUAAGAGUUGCGUGAAGCCAUUGUCCAGGAAAUUUCUACCUAUCCUUUGCCACCUUAUGCUUACAUAACUCAGUUCUUCUUCAACUAUCAUUGAUAUACCACUGUCUUUUGGUCUAGUGUGCGCUGAAACCCAUUCAAUAUAUCUUAAGGUUCAUUUUGCAUAAGGCCUCAUUUUAUUAGAUUGUUCCAUUGGUAGACAAGCUACUGUUGAAUAGUUCCUGCUUUUUGAACUGUGCUGUAAUUACACGAUUUGGGUCUCAAGGGUAAGACACAAAAUAUAAUGUACUUAUACACUGCUUGUGGUGCUAAACAAAACCUUUCCCCUUAAGAAGAAGAAAGAAAAGAUUUGGAUAUGUGAUAAAGCAUAUUGUGUUGGCUUGUUGCCCAGAAGCUCUAGGGUGUCUUUCAGUUGAAACUGUAAGAUUAGCUUCAAAUUCAAUCAGCGACAAAUGAAUUUUACUUUCAGUUUCUUUGCGAAGUUUUUUAAUAGCUAUAACAUCCCAUGUGUAUGGAGUAGGGUAGUUGCAGCCAUUUGCUAAUGUAUAAAUUAAUUGCAUCAGUCUUACAGGAGCAUAUCCAACUACCUCAUUGCAGUAGCAGAAGUUAGCAUGAUUCCCAUUAAUGCAAUGGGGCAUUCUCCCUCACUUCUCCUCCUGUGUGUUGCCCAUGACCUCCCCAAAUCUGCUGGGGGAAAGGGGUUGGGAAAACCCCCAGACACUGGCAGAGGAAGAGGAGUGCAGGGAGAGCUCACCGCCCCCAGCAGUGCAAUCCUGGUGGGGUGCCAUCGCAGCUGCCCCCCCCCGCACUGGGUGCCAUGUCCCUGCAGGUGGCGUGCCCUGCCCCCAGGACAUGCACCAUGCCCCUGCGGGCGGUGCACCACCCCCGCCCGCUCUCUGCCCCCCGGUGCCGGAGCAUGAAGCUCCGCCGUAGUUCCCAGCAUAGCAUGUCGUGGUGGGGAGGGCAUUGGUAGAUUGUUCUGUCAGGGAACCAGAAAUGCUUGCACUGAUGGAACUGUUCUCUUACAGAACACAGUGCAACUCAACGAAAGGAAAAUCAUAGCAUUGGUGUAUAAAGCGAAGUGGUCAAAGAGCAUUUAAUUAAAUAGCAGCUAAGCCAGCAGGUGUGGGAAGAACACAGAUUUGGCGCUGUAGUCCUUUGCAGACUGUAUACAUGGAAGGCAAAAUCCACCUCUCUAGUAUUGAGCAUUCUAGUAAAGCUCUAUUCUCUCUUACGUUAUAAUAGUUCUCUUUAAACAUGUGCAUCAGUAAGUAAGUAACUAAAGUACUGUAAUAGUGGUUGCACACACAUCCUGGGAGCCUGUGAGUUUAAAUGUGGCUAUUGAUACAAUGGAUGUCUUAGAAACUUGGCUAAAUCCAAAUGUCAUUGGCAGAAUGACAGUGGAGCCCUAUAGUACCAGUAGUACAGGAACAGCAGUGUGGUUGUGUUUGAAGAACAAUUUGUGGUGUAAGGACACAAAUAGUAUGAUGCAUUUUGAAUAGGAUCUAUCUGUCUUGUAGAAAUUAGUGGGGAAGCUCCUGUUUGUUGGAAUACAUUGCUGGAGCCACUAAAUCAAAGUACCUGCUACUCUUUAUUAUCUAAAUGACAUAUAAAUUGGUAAAGCCCUUCCAAGAUAAGCAACGUAACAAGGGAUCAGGAUUUUGAUCCCCUCACUUCAAAAGUCCCAAGACUACAAGAACCCAGUCAUAGCUGUGUAAUUUGAAAAAUCCAUUUAAGAUACUGAACAAAAUGGUUCCUGGUUGGAGUAUAUCCAGUUAAAUCAAUGAGUCUUCUCUAAGUGUGAGUUAGUUGUAUAUUACCCAUUUGUUGUUGUUGUUUAGUCAUGUCCGACUCUUCGUGACCCCAUGGACCAGAGCACGCCAGGCACUUCUGUCUUCCACUGCCUCCCGCAGUUUGGUCAAACUCAUUCUGGCAGCUUCGAGAAUACUAUCCAACCAUCUCAUCCUCUGUCGUCCCCUUUUCCUUGUGCCCUCCAUCUUUCUCAACAUCAGGGUUUUUUCCAGGGAGUCUUCUCUUCUCAUGAGGUGGCCAAAGUAUUGGAGCCUCAGAUUCAUGAUCUGUCCUUCCAGUGAGCAUUACCCAUUUACACAUCUGCAAUUUUCAUCAUAGCACCCACCACUCCAUUUGAGUGAAUUCUUGUGUGUAGCCUGGGCUUAUUACUGCACCUUUUAAAAUAAUUGGUUUUCACUUAAAAAACACCAACCCACCAUACAUUCAAAAAUACAAGUUACACUUUUGGAACAUUUCAUAAAAGCAACUCCAAGAAAGGAGCACUUAAACUUUCAUGUUCCCUAGAUCAGUGUUUCUUCAUCAUCAUAAUUUUCUUUGCAUGCCACCUUCACACAGUUAAAACAAUGCUCAAGGCGGCUUACAAUAUGAAAAGAUUUAUAUAAUUACAAACAUAGCAAAGUAGUCAUAAAAAUAAAACACAUCAAAAACUACAUAACCAAACUGAACAUUUUCCACAUAAAAAGAUACAAAAAAUUAAUAUCAAUAACAGCAGCAAAAACUCCCAACAAAAUUUUCCCCAAAAUACUCCAUUCCCUGCAGUCCUUAGGAAGCCUGUCAGGCCCCACCCUAGGCCAGGUGGAGAGAGGCAGGAGCAGGACCAUCAGGCUCUCAGCCUUUUUCUGACUGUGACCCCCUUCCAACCUUCUUUCCUUCCUGUGCCCCCCCCCCGGACGUAGCCAAGGGGGGCAGGGGGGCAGCUGCCCCUCCAUAAGUAAAAAUCAAUACAUAUCUGAGGCUCUGCCCCCAGCCACUCUGGACAGCUUUCCCCAGCCACUCUGGGUGGCUUACAACAUAAAUAAAACCACAACAAAACACCAAACAUUAAGAAACAGAAUGUCCUAUACUGGCAACAAACAAACCAAUAAAUCAAUAGAAAGCAAUAAUAACAACAAUAAGAGUUUACACUUAUACCCAAAUUAAAAUAACCGCCAACCCCAACUAAACAUUUAACCAACCCCAACCCGACAAAAACAAACCAGAGGAACCAAAAUUAGAACUGUUCAAACAUUGUAAAACAUUUUUGCCAGUUGCCCCAACCCAAGAGUUGUUUCAGUAAUGUCCCUCUGGCCUCCCAGGAGCCUCUUUUAUCUGUUCAAGGUGAGUCUGGGCCCCACCCCCUAGGCCAGGUGGAAAUAGGCCUUGCAGCAGUGGGGGUCUUCCUUUCAGCCCUCACAGCAGCAGCAAUGUCCCUCCAGCCUCCCAGGAGCCUUUUAGGUGUGGGUAAAUUCUGCACCUAGACUAGGAUUAUUUUCCCUUGCACUUGGUGGGGGUGGUUGCCCAUGGAGAAACUUGCAAAUAUGCAGCCGUCCCCCUUGUAGAUGCAAAUCAUACAGUCCAUGGAAAUUCUGCAACAUGUAUAAGUUACAUAGGUUGGGUUCUGGAACAAAUCAAUUGAGAGAUCAAGGGUGAAUGUGUUGGUAGAAACAUGAGAUGAUGAGAGUGGACUGUUUCACGGUGUAGAGGAGAGUUUUAAAAACAACAUUACCAAACUUAGAAAACAAAAUCAUAUAACAUAAACAGUCCUUAUGUACAGAUAACUACUAGUACACACUAUUAAUUGGUAAUACGGGCAUUACCAAAGACUUGAAGUUUGCAUAGGAUGGGGACCUUUGAAUCCUGCUAAAUGAGUUAAACUAGGAGCAAAUCUGAGUGAACCCGCCCCCCCCCAGACCGUCUAAAUCAGAAUUCAAGAUUUGAGCCUCACAUUGCUUCUCCAGUGGCAAUGGACAUGAAUGAAACUCUCCUGUAGGAAUAACACCUUGUAUCCAUUACGCUGGCAUGGAUAUGAGGAAACGGAAAGCCAUAUUCAUGUGGUAGGUAUGUGUUAGAGGAAGCCAAUUCUGGGUUUGGGUGAUACGGUCAUUGUACACUCCAUAAAUUCCAUUUGUGCCUAAGCUGGAAGUGAUAAGAUGCCUCUGCCCAUGAGUUCCCAUCAGCAAUGGCAUGUUUUUGUUGUUCGUUUUCUUAACAUUUUGAAAACUUUGAUGAAACUUGAUUUUAUUUUAUUUUUAAGGAACAAAGUAAUGCCAAGAGUCUUGUGUGACCAUGAUAAAAAGGAGAGUUGGGCAGGGGAGAUAAAUCAUACCUUCCUGUUUUAAAGGCCUGUACAACUCAUUGAUUAAAUGAAGAUGAUGCGCAAUCUUUUUUAAAGAAAGCCUGAAACCACGAGCUAAAAUAAGAAUUAGGAGGUUAUUAAAUUAUUUUCUUUCUUUUUUUUAAGAAUAAUUUUUUAUUAACUGACCAAUCACAUCAAAUCAAACCAAAUUACAUAAAUUCCAAAUUACACAGCCGAAUUUUAAAUUUUUGUUGGGGGUACCCAUAUUUCAAGUUCCAAAGGGAUCCAAUCAACUUCUUGCUUCUUACUGCUGUUUUAAUGUCCACAAAUCUAACCUUAUUAUGUUCACAGUACUAUCCAGUCCUUUCCUAUUAUUUUUCCACAUCUCUUGUUGUUAUUUUCAUAUAUUUUUCCUUUCUCUUUGUGACCUCUGAUAGUCUCCGCAAGCUGGUUAGAACAGUUUGUAAUCCUGCGUGGAUAUUAUUUUUUUUAUCCAGUAGCCAUAUCCAGACAUUUUCCAUAUAACAUCACUUCCAUACAUCAAAACAGUCUUAGCAUCAUUAAUCUUCACCAAUCUGCCUCCUUUUCUCAAAACCUCUGAGGAGAUUCACUAGGAAUGCAGUCUGAAAACAAAUCCGUUCUUCCUCCCGGCUAUAAUUCCUUUGGCAAGAUGGCGACUCCGAAUUAAUUGCUGUGCCAUUCCCAAAAGCUCUUAUUGCUUUUCGGUCUCCAUAAAGCAUACUUUUGGUUAAAGUUUAUCUCCACACAGACCUUAAUCAUCCUGCUUGGGUCAGUUCAACCGACGGUUCUAAUGAGGGGGGGUUCUUGUAAAUCACACAGAAGGAAAGUAAAAAAGGUCCCCCCCCCAUUCAGCCCCAUUGUCAACAUACCCCUCCUUUGGUCUAUCUUCAUCGUAAAAUAUUCCUGUUUCUCCAGCCCGUCGUCUUCUUUCGCAGAGGUCACUUAAAUUAACAGACUUCACUCCCCUUCUUCACUUGAAAUAUGUGCAUUUGCUUCUUUUGUAAUUAAUUAUUCCAAAUUGCUGCAACUAGUGCGCGAUCAGAGACAGCGUCCAGGAGAGCCGAUGUCCACACGGGGGCAUUCUGCCUAGGGCCCUCACCCCCUUCUUUCGAAUUAGGGGAUGAUUUAUGGGUACAGCAGGCAAGGGCAGUGUUCCCCAUUUCCUUGGGGCAACAAGGGAGGCUGCCUACUCCCAUAACAGCCUCUUAAUUACCCCGUGUGGGUCGGAGAGAUGGUAUUGUCGGCCAUCUUCCAAUGCGCCCACUCGUGGCCCCCUGAGGUUAUUAAAUUAUUUUCAACUAAGUAAUGUUAUGCUUCUGUAACUUUCUUAAUUAACAGGAGAAUCAAAGCAAUCCCCUCUUUCAAGAUACACACAGUUUUGCAUUUUAAGUGUAUGCAGAACAUUUUUCCACCUUAAUUUUUGAAAGAUAUCUUUUGUCUACUGUGUCUUUGGAGUCAAAUCUUGAAUGACUUUACUAAGGAGAUUCACGAGAGAAUAUACAGCCGCUUGUUUUGCAAAGGGAGGGCAAAUAAAUUUUGCAUUUUUAGCUAGAGACCCCCUUUAGAUUUGGUGAGGCAGGUUGAGUGUUGAAGCUAAGGCUAAUUGAAAACAGAUGAGGGAGAGGCACAGCACAUUUUUUAGGACCCAACAAGUGGCUGCACAACUUUGCUUGCUGUGCCUUGGGGGCUAAGCUUUGCUAUGAAGGGAGCUGCUGAAUUUAGUGCCAAUGUGCAUGUAGAGAAGAGGGUGAGCAAACUGAGGUAGAGAUUGAAAUGUUGAAUAUGCUGUUUAGAGUUUUAUUAUAGUCACAGUUUUGCUUUUCAAUCUGGGAUGAUGCAAUAAGAAAUAGAGGUGCACACUUGUACAGAUCUCCCCAUCCAUAAUCUUGCCCCAAGCGAUUCCCAGACUUAAGGCUGAUUCAUAUAGCAAGGUGGUGUUGAAAUAAGGCAGCCACAAACCAACUGGUUUGGUAGCGAGCAUAAGAAUCGUGGCAGUUACUAGCAAUAUAUUCGGGGGGGUUGGGUAACUUGGUUCACUGUAGCUUUCUGUAUCUUAACACAAAGGCAUAUAAUGAACUGUGAAAACCACUGUAGCUAACACAAUGGCAGCAUACAUUGCCCCCCCCCCCCGCUUAUUGCCAAAACUGCCCUGUGUGGUAGAUUAGGCUGAAUGACGAUGGAUGGCUCAAAGUGAACAUGGUCUUUGCAGUUCUAGCUUGGCAGUCAAUAACUACUGCACCACGCCAGCUCUAAUUCCAGAAGUAGGGUAUCCUGUAGUUCAGUCCAUAACUCUUAGUAUUGUGUAUAACUGAAGCACCAUUAGCAAGGCUCCUCAUAUCAACCUUGGGAUAUUAUCUGGGAAUUCCACAAAUUACCCUUUGUUUUGCAAAUUUAAUGAACACGUUGCAUGCCCUUAGGGCUAGAAUAUCUUUAUACAUUAAGCAGACUUAUUUAAUGUGCAUUAAAAUUUACGGGCUGCCUUUUUUUUUUUUUUUUUUUGCCACAGAGGCCUUCGAAGUGGCUGACAGUUUCAAUAGUAAUAAAACAGCUCAUUAAAAGCAAUUUACAGAAACACGAACGCAACAGCAGUAAUUGUAUUUUGUUUGCAGAAGAGAAGACCCAGCCUUCUGAAGGUCUCAUUGAACAAGAAGGGGCUCACUGGUCUCCUAAAGAUCAUGUAAAAGCUGUUGAUGGAACAGUCUGUCUUGGGAGGUUGUGGACUCUCCUUCCUUGGAGGUUUUUAAGCAGAGGUUGGAUGGCCAUCUGUCAUGGAUGCUUUAGCUGGGAUUUCUGCAUUGCAGGGAGUUGGAGUAGAUGACCCUUAGGGUCUCUUCCAGCUCUGCAUUUCUAUGGUUCUAUAUGCUGACACUGGAAAAGCCCUGUUUUUAUAGUAGAGGAUAACUUUGCCUCAGGCAGUAUCUCAUCAGUAGGGUAUUAACUUGCAGAGUAUAGCUGUUCCACAUUCUCUGCAGCCUGCACAAGGCAGUCUUCAGGAGCAGCCUCCUGUGGAGUGUUUCAGUAGUCAAACUGAGAAGUAACCAGAGGAAACAUGUUAAUGGAAAGUAGUCUCCUCCCUUAAGUAUGCAUAUGGUGCACCAUAUUUAUGCAUCUAAUGUAUAUUCAUGUGGCUGAGUUUAUUCAAUAGACAUUUUAAGAGUCAGCAGGUCAGGGGUGUGUCCUUUUUAACCUCCAUUCCCAGCAGCUCUUUAGAACAUUUGACCUUAGUUACUUGAACUAAAGUCAAUCAAAGCACUAAUAGGAAACUAAGGGAAGUCAUAUGACUUCCUGGCAGACAAAAGUAAACUUGGGACACCUGCGGCUGUUGUCAUCUCAUCGCUUGCUCACCACUUCAAGCGCAUAGAUGAAUUUGGCGCUCGAGCAUGACAUCCAUGAAAAGCUUUCUGUCUGAAAGACAUAGAGAACGGAUUGGAAAAUGUUUAAACUUGAGGCUGCUAUAUUGGAUGACUACAGGUCCUCCCCCCCCCCCAUUUGCUCUGGUAUUAUCUAAGAUUAUGACUUUCCUUUUGUUCUUGCUAUGGCACCUGUUGCUGAUGUAAGUACAAUAAUCUCGGCUGCACCGUUCGCUAGGUACUUUGAUCAGAGCAUAUGUCAUGAAUUACUGUAAAAGGUACUGGAGGUUUGGAUUGAAAAGUAUUGAAGGUUUUGCACUACUGGAAACCGAAACCUCUUUUUUUGUUUUUUAACCUUGCUGUUUUUAUUCAUAAAAUUCUAAGAACACCUCUGCAUAUUUGGUACAAUAGGUCAUCAGUAUUAUAAUAAUUUCAAAGUAAGUUACCCUGCAUUGGAUUUUCCUGUGCCAGAAUAGGUGUGUGUUUUGAGCAUGCUUUUGUCUGUUGUUCAGAAUGGUUUACUAGUAUAUGAGAUGCAAAUAUCCACAGAGCUAACUAUGCUUAAAAUAAGGUAGGCUCAUACGGUCUGCUGUGUUUUAGUAACGGCUCCAUUGUUAUCUGGUUAGAUUUAGAAAUGCAGUAAGCCAAAUGGCCCAUGGAAACGAAAUCCUUUACUGCUAAAUGGAGAGGAAACAAAUGCAUUUCGAAACUUGCAAUACUGUGCGUAUCUAUUCAGAUGUAAGUCCCAUUGUGUUCAGUGAGACUUAUUCCAGGUAAAUCUAUGGCAGCUCUUGUCAAAAGCAGUGCGGCCAGGCAAUUUUAGACCCUGGAUUUAAUGGCCUUAGAUGUCUUGUGUGUGUGUGUUCUGUUGCGAAGCGCACAAUUAACAUUUCUCCCCCCCCCCCGCCACCUUCAAACAAUUUCAUGCUUUACAACUGCUUCUACAUCCUUGAUAUAUUAGAGCAAAAAAGCGUUUAUAAACCCUGAAAAAAGGAGCACUCUGAGCAUAUGCGCUUUUGCAUUUUAAACUCUCAUCAUACCAUCAUUAUAACUACAAGAAUAAAAUUGAGUUUGUGUUUGCUGCCCUAAUGUUGGUGCCCUGCUGCACAUAUUCCCUGAGUUGGUGAGGUUUGUUUGAUAGCAACAAGAAACUAACCUUUUAAUGUAAUCAACCCAGUCUUGUGGAAUACUGCCAUUGUUGUUUAUACCCCGCCCAUCUGACUGAGUUGCCCCAGCCACUCUGGGCGGCUUCCAACACAUAUAAAAACACAGUAAAACAUCAAACAUUAAAAACUUCCCUGUACCAAUAGAGAUUCUGCAUAGACCUUCUGUUUCAACUUCUAAAUGCCUGCUGAAGAUUUUUCUACUCCGUCAGACUCCUGCAGGCAAUGAAGACAAUAUCUUUCCAUAAUAAUUACCGGUAGCUGAUUUCUGGUUUUAAAGUUUUAUAUGCUUUCAUGUAAAACUGUUGUAAACCAUUCUGGGUUUUUUUUAAUGAAUAGUGGUAUAUAAAUACUUGUAAUAAAUAAUAAACAAAUACACUUUGAACAAGCACCAUUUUGCUGUAAAAACAAGAUGAUUUAAUAUUUUAAAGUUUUUAAAAAAAUACAAAGAGCAUCUGUAACCAUGUACAUGCUUGGCUGGCUAUAACAUCUUUUAAAAAUGAGAAGAAAGGAUGCUGUGGUGAUCAGCAUCAGCCACAGUUGUCUCCCUGCAUGUCCAUAAUGGCCCAAGUGUUGGUCAAAAAUGGUUCCUCUCUUCCUUCCUUUUUUACAAUUUGCAGAGUGUUUCGGGCAAGACUGAAGCACCCAUGAAACUUGGAGGGGAAGGGCAAAGAGAAUUUUCUCCAAAAUAUUUGGAGAAUGGAUAGGGCGAAGGCUGACAUUUACUUUAACCAUGCGAGGUUGCAGAGGGAUUUUUUCCUUUUCCUUUCAAAACAAAUGCCCGGCACCACUCAAAAGCAGUACAAAGCCCUCUCUGUCUCCAUAGCUGCCACUUCCUAAUGGGUAUGGAGUGACGCAAUGCAAUGUGACGUGUUCCUGCCAUGCCACCCCAGGAAGUGUCUAUUGGCUGCUUCCCACUGGCCCAUAUUCUUCAAUGGUUUUGGAACAACACAACAUGAUGUUUUAAAGUAGAAGAAAUAGAAGAGAACCCUCUACCACCACAUAUACUUUAGGUAAGCAGAGUCCCUGUCCAAAUAUUUAAGAGAAAACUAUUUCCUCUGCUCCCUGUGAGAGAUAGCAAGAAUGUUGCAUCCUGUUUUUGCAGGAUACUUUGUGAAAACAGAGGUGGAUUUCGGCCUAGCGUUGGUAAAAAGGGCCUGUCUGGGUGGGUGAACAAAAUUUCCUUCAGGCUGAAUGCAAAGAGAGGAGAAGAAAAGAGGUUGCUGGCUUGGUGGCCUAACCUGACAAGCUAGGCCGUCCUAAAUAAAACCUGAUAACUCCCAUUGGCUGCUGCCAAAGGGCAUUAUAGCCACAGACAGUCCUUACCUUAAAAAUGCACUGUGAGGGGAACGGGUUAGUGUAGCCAACCACUAUACCUCACAAACCCUGCUUUUUUGUUAACCAAUACUUGUCUGUAAGAGUUUUUUGAAAAUUAGCUAUAGAUAGUUUUGACGCGUCCCCACCACCUACAGAAGACACCACAGAAUUCUACCUUAAAUGCAUACCCUCCAACAUUUCAUCGAUAAUAAUUAUAAUUAUAAUUUCAUUAUUUAUACCCUGCCUAUCUGUCUGGGUUGCCCCAGCCACUCUGGGUGGCUUCCAACAUACAUAAAAAUUUACAACAAAUUAAACAUUUAAAAAACUUCCCUAGACAAGGCUGCCUUCAGAUGUCUUCUAACGAUUCUGUAGGGAAAAUAGGGAUGUCCUAGGAUCCAGUCAGGGACUGGGACAGCUUCUGUAAACCUUGGACUGUUCAUGGAAAAUAGGGACACUUGAUCUGUAAAUGUGAGCUUUCUCUUCUGUGUAAACUCACUUGCUCUCUGAACACUUCAAGCAGUAUGAUAUUGGGGUGGACCAGUGAGGAAGUGCAGAAGCAGAGGGCCAUCAUGAAAGAACGGAGGGGGCAACAUGAUGAAAGCUCACUGCCAAAAAUAACCAGUUCUUCUACCCUUCCUUCCAUAUGCUGAUCAGCUGUUUUGAUCGCAGCCUUCAACCCUCUUUGCUCCUUUCAACUCCGUGGUAGCUGUCAUUCAAUAUGCUAUCUCUCGCCAAAAGCUGAAGAGAAGCAGAGCUUUCUAUUAAUUGCUCCACACACAUGUAGCUGAAGUGAAGGUGGCUCAACCAUUUUCCACUGUAAAGAACAAUAAGUUCAACCUCCCAGGGCAGAAACCUAACGUUGCCCAAUCCCCUCUGUCCCUGAAUUCCUCCCUAAAGUUUUUGGGGAAUCUGGGCUAGCUUCCUCUGGAUCGGUUUACACAGGGUGUAGAUGAUGCACCCCAGAGGAUCAGAUUUGAUGAUUUGACUGCUAGUUGCUGAUUCCCAUUCUACUUAAGCUCCACCCCAUCAAUAUUAAUUGAAGUAACCUUUCUGAGAACUAUAGUAGUGCAAUAUCUGUAAAAUAUCAGUAGAUGGUGCUGUAGUCCUUUACAUAUGUGUACAAAAGCACAACAGGAACAGAGGAUGUUCACAUGAAAAAAAAAAUGGGAUCCUUGUAUUUUUCCACCCUUCUGGCUUCUUGAGCACUGCUGAAUAUUUGCCAUCAGAUUCUUCAAAUUUAAUUUGCAUCCUGCUUUCUUUCUGUGUGUGCAUGAACCGAGGUGAAAAAAACUGGUGGAGGUGAUUAACAUUGACAAGCCCCCCCCCCUUUCAAAUGGCUUCUGUGUCCCUAAUCCUCAGAAAUUGUAGAAGAUAAUAUAGGAAUUAGCACUAUAUCAUGGGUUUUCAAAGCCUAUCAAUGGGUUUUCCAAAGACUAAGUGAAAUUCUCUAAUUUCUAAAUGUAUGCAUACAUGCCAGAUACUUUCAAUCUCACACUGGGAAAGGAGAAAAAACUCUAAGGUGGAGUACAUUUUUGCAAAAACUCUUGAAAGUUUAAAACAUCUGAGAGAUCUUGGCAUAAAAACUGCACAAUGCAUUGAAGACCAGCAUAUCCAGAUUGGGCAAGUAUAGGUUAGGGAAAAUUUUGUGGCUCAUUAGAGAACUCCACCACUUGGAUGCUUAGAUUUUUAAAACAUAGCUUUAAUUUAAAAUGCAAGUGAGCAGGUAACAAAAUACAUAGGCCCAGCAGCAAAAGGUCUUGGCUUAAGUGGCCUUGGGUUUAAAUGUCAGGUGCACUCUGGCCACUUGCACAUGCAACAUUAGGCUAAACAUGCUUGUUUAAUAAGCCAGGAUAUGAAGUAGAAGAAGAUGCCUUCACCCCGGUAUGGUUCCCCUUUAUCACAUACGUAGCCCAACAAGACAACAAGAAUCUGCCAACAGCAUACGAAUCAAUAUGGCUAACCUGACCCAAGAAUCCAACCCCCCUGCCACAAACAAAUCUAACUAAAGCCAACCAAAGCCAAGCCAACCACCCCUAGGCCACCCCUACCUCUCUCACCACCAAGGAAAUAUAACAAGCGAAUAGAAAGAGAACCCACACAAGUGACACUGACACAAAACCCCAAACAUACACAAAGUAGAAUAAUACUGGCAUUACCACCCUAUCCCACCCCAUGCACCUUCUCCACCCUUCCCCUCUUUUCUUCCCAACCUAAUACUGCGUUCAGCACCAAUGUCUCACAACAUAUGAAAAUGAUCUGUAGAAAACACAACUUGAAAAAACAGACAAUGAACAUAUUUUUGUAAACUAAGAAAUCUUUAAUUAUUAUUUUUUUUAAGCAAGGAUAUGCACAAAUAUCACGUGGGAGCUCCUUUGAAGCCACUUCACUCCUCCCUUCAUGUGAGCAGCUGAAGAAGCCAGCUUUGAUUUAUGGCUUCGUAUCCUGGCUUGUUCAGCUGCUCAUGCUGGCUUCGCAUUACGUGCAAGGAUGUCCUCAGAGUUGGCUGGACUAAGCAGCUUCAGCCCAACUUGCACUCUUACUAGGCUAGUGAUCCUUCUCAUGGAAGAAGGGAGUGCAAUGCAUAGCUUUCAUAUCCAUCAUGCACAUAAUGUUUGUGAGGUAGGCACUCCACGUGAAGGCCCACUUUGCAUACGUACUACUCCCAAAAGGUGGGGUUUGUUUCUUAAAGGGGAAUUUGUAUGAAUCUUGUAAAUGCAUGGGCCUCCAUGUCACAUUUGUCAGUGUGUGUCUGCUUCUUCACCACACAGAGAGUAUUGUGAGCUGGCUUUGGUAUGUUCAAACCUACGGUCUGUAUGCCUGCUUUGCUCACUCAUUAAUGUUAUUAGUGUAUAUUUAGUUAUGCACAGGGAAAGCUCCUAAGGGUUUGUGCUUCACUCAUGUUUCAAAAUAUGUGACAGAUGCACAGUGAAGUGAACUUCCAGUUACUCCCCACAGCUUCUGGAAACUCCUUCCCCAUGGCCAUGCCAUAGGAUGUGUGCCUCAGUUUAACAUAGUUCUGGUGGUUACAAUCUGUCUGUUGCUCCUUUAGCUACAUUUUUAAAAAGUUCUUGGUUUAUGGAGACAGCAGUUGUAAAUUUGCAUUGGUUCAUUCAUUCACUCACUCAGCUAUCCAUUCUUAUAGCUAGAGAUUAUCACCACCCUGCAAAGUAAGUGGCAAGCCUAGAUGUGGGUGUGCUUCAGUCUGAAGUUUGUGCCUUGAUAUCUGAACUUGGAGCAACUUGGAGAAAUGUGGCUAUGGAGUUUGAGUGUUCCGAUUUAGCUUUACAUUUCAUACGAAUGGGCAUAAACCACUAGCAGAUUUCUCUUCUCUUUGGCUGCAUGGGAAAGGCAGGAGGCAGUUCACUGUACAGCAGUGUCACAAGACCACAUCGUUUCCCUCGUGGAUUGAAAUUUCACCCUGAUAGGUAAAAUCAUAGGAGGUGAUGAGAUGCCACAAACUGUAUCUCAUCCCUCUUGUUCAAGCUCCAGAACAGAUGAUUUAGAUGAAACUCUUUACCUGUGAAUUAAAAGGUGACUUCUGGCAGCUCCAUAAUCUAAACUGAAAGUGUUGCAUACACCCUGUAACAUCAAAAAGAGAGGGAAGGAGGAAGGGAGGGAGGGAGCCUUCCUGUCACAGGCAUUUGAAUGCCUCUGGGAAGUGCAGCUGGUACCAGAUUUCCUAUCCUUGCCCAGAGGAACAUAUCAAAGUCAUACCAAUGUGACUACAGUAGAUAAAACAACAAGGGGGUUAGGAUGAAGAAGACACAUACGUUUUAUUUCAUUUCUUUUUCGCAGAGAGUCUGCUCUGGAGGUUUCCUAGUUGUAGUCGGUUCAGAUGUUGCGUUUUCCUUUCCAGGGCUGAGCUCUGGCUGGGAAAUGGUUCUUCAACUUUGAAGUGGAAGGUGGUUUUAAUCACGGAGCUGAUUUAUCUGCCCACCUAUACUGAAAAUAGUUUUGCGUUUUUAAGAAAAGUUUCCUUUUCAAAAUGGAUUGUUAAUUGUGCAUAUGGCACUUCUAAAAAUGAGAAAGGGAGGGAGCUAUCCUAAAGCUUGAGAGAGCGGAAAGGGCAAGAGAGUGAUAAGGCCAGCAUAAGAUUCUCUGUAUGUCUGGCGCAUGCAUAGACCCUGACAGCAGUACAGCUUACUUGGUUUAGUCGCCUUGCCCCCAAAGAGCUAAUUUUCACAUUCUUUUGUUUUGUUGACAUAUAUAUUUCUGUAGGUCACUUUGUUGUUCUUCAAUGUUAUAAAUGGCAGGUGAUUUUUGUCUCUGACCAGUAAUGUGGAUGAUGCCUUAACACUGUCCACCUCUAUUUUUUGCAAAAUUGCCUUAAAUGCCAAUUUUCUUUGCAUUUCAUUUGCCUUAAGGUUGGCCAAAGGCCUGAAGCAUCACACAGCUUUUGAGUUGAGUUGAGUUGAGUUGAGAAACAGAAAACGUUUAGGCAUAUGAAUAUUUUCCAGUUGUCUUUCAUUUUAAUUUUUGCUCUCUUCCCAUAGAGCUCAGAAUGCAGCAUUUCAUAGAAAUUUUGGGACAUACAGAAUUCAUUCCGCUGUGCUAAGUUGUUAUGUUUGUCUGUGUUCAAUCAAAACAUAAGAACUCCGGUUUAAUACAGCAGUAAUAUUUUUUUUCCUGUUUGUUUUUAUUUUACAUAAAAGUGGUACUUAGCAUUCUAGUGACUUUGUUUUUUGUGGUUGUUUACUUCAGAAAUUGGGAUUUGUAUAAAGCAAAUGUGUACAUUCAGUUGUCAAUUUUUUUAAUCUUUUAUAAAUGAUACAUGAAAUAUUUUGCUCUCCAGACAUCCUCUCUUUAACUUCCUGUUGCCAUGGUCACUCAUUAGUAUUCCAUGGAGGCCUGGUUGCCAUGGAAAAAUGUGUAGUUGUACAGUGUUUCCAUGGUUACUCUCCACCAUUAUGUACCUUUGGUAUAUCAACUAGCAGAUCUGUUUGGGUAAGCCUGAAAUAUUACAGAAGUAUUUAAAGCUACUGGUAAUUCAGAUCUCAUGCCCAAUCUGCAGCUUGAAUAUUUAUCUGUAGAAGGGCAAUGGAGCCAUUUUGGAUUGCAAAUGCCAUAUUAAAAUGAAUGCUUUCGAGAAAUUAUUUCACAGCUGCAACUCAGCCUGUAUUUUUUGUGCAGGUUUGAAUUCAUAUGCUGAAGAAUUUUCACACGUUUUGCAGGAAUACCACAUUUUGGACCCCUUUUGAGUGUAUUUAAGCUAUUUCAUGUGUGGAUUGUGUGAGAAGGUGUUCAUUCAUGAAAUCGGAUAGAAAUCGGAGAAGCCACCUGGUGACUCGUUGCUUUUUGCAGGUUUCACAAUAAAAGUGCACAGACCUUCUUUCUUCAGUCAGCCAGGCCCAUAAUCCUGAGGGGUGGAGGUGGGUGAGCAGCUUUUACCUGAAGAUUCAUUCAGAGGCGCUGUGGGGAACAGCUCUCCCUACCUCACAUGGUUAUUUAUCAGGAGCAUCAACAUUUCCCCUGACAAUUCUAGAAGUGGAUUUAGAGCAGCAUGACUGGUGUCCCCCCACUGGGUGCCAAAUUGAAUGGGGCACCUCAGGGUGUCACAACUGUGGCGUAGUACACAGUCAGAAUGGAAGGAGAGAGGCGGAGGCCACCAAAUUUUCACUUUGCACAGGAGCUACUGAAAUUUAAAAGACCAAAGUCUGCCCCUGCGAAUUCUCUACUGAAACCUUUUCAGUUUGACACAGAUAGCCUUCUGAGGGCCACGCGCCCAUGGGGUGAGGUGGGGGGGGAGUGGAUGGAACAACAGAUGUGAUUCACACCUUUUGCACAAUGGGCUACAUUCCAAGCAUGCAAAAGCCAGCCAGCCCUCUUCGUCCUCCAUUCAGGCAUGCAAGAGUUUGAGGGCACAUUUCAGCAGGCAGAGCACUAAAGGAGGGUACAGAGCAGGGCUGGUGAUGGGUGUGGGGUGGGGAGAAUGGACAUAGCCUGGAGAGUUGGCCUGGCCUGGGAGAGUCCCCAGGGCCAGAUAGAGAGGACCGGAGGGCCACAUUCCGUCUCGGGGCCUGCAGUUCCCCACCCCUGAUAUAGGUAGUCAACCUUUGAACCUCUAUACACCUCUUCAACCAUUAUAUAAGAAAUCUGUACCUGCCAAAAUUCCUUCAUCUAUAAAACUAUUAAAAGUAUGGGAGACCUAAUAUUGAAACGGUGGGCAGUGUCUUAUAUAAACAACUCAAUGGGCCUAUGUACAUGUUCUGCAUGAUAGAAGCACCCUUUUUUAAGUGAAGAGUUUUGUAGCUGUUGAUCAACACUGCUAUCUUUGUGAUGGGGUGUAUAUAAGGAAACUCUUCUAACCAAAUAUUGUUGAGUAUAUGUUUUUGCAAUUGAGCCAUGAAAGUCUUCAAGGGCAGUUUGGUUAACUUCUUCCUUGAUAAAGGGAAUGGAUGCUCCUUGCUCCCUAAACAUAGGGCACCCUUGCAGGUGAGGCAUUCCCACAUGACCAACAAGUACAGAAUCAUAGAAUUGGAAGAGACCCUGAGUGUUCUAGUCCAACUCCCUACAACACAGGAAACUCAACACAUACUUCCCCAUCCAAUUUGAAACCAUGCCGGACCCUGCUUAGCUUUGCAGAUGUGCUAGCAGUUUUACUGCUGGACCACUCUGCCAUAGCUUCAAAGAUUGCCAGGUGGGCAUGGGAAUGGCUGGUACCCCUGAGUCCCCCCCCCCAAAAGCAGUGAUUAGGGAUUUGUUGGUACCACCUGUGAGCUGGUUAUCAGACUGUUAGUUAUAGACCUGCAUAUUUCAAAGUAAGAAUUGCUUCCAGGUAAUUGUAAAGGGAAGCUGUACAAAAACUGGUACUCCUCCCCUUUCUUUUGAACCACAAAUUACUAGUGUGGCUGCAAAAAGUUGCCUCCAGUAUCCUCAGGAUUGCUUGUACUUGGCCUCUCAUCAUUUGUGUCAUUUGGGAGUAGCAGUGACUAAAUUAGGCUUGAUUAGCAUUUAUACAGGAAUAAUCUAUUACUUCCUCACAAUUAAAGCCAAAUAGUUUUUCGUCUUGACUGAUGGUUCUCUUUAUGAAGAGAGAAUGUAAAUGACUGUUCUGUUUGAACGUUUGCAAAAUUUAAAAUACAACAUUUCAAGCUUUGUGUUAAUUUAGAGGCUGGGGUGUCCAUGCAGUAACAUUCCUAUUAAGAAAAAAACAUAUGAAAAGACCAAAGAUGACAAUUGAGAUCUUAGGGAGUCAUGCAUUACUCCUGCUUUGAGUUAAGGCACAGAACAUACAGGCCAGUCUUGCAGCUUGCAACUCUGCAGGGGCAAGUAGCAACUGCUCCCAGUGAGCACAUGAUUGUGCCAACAUGGGGGUGAUGGGAAUACAAAAACUGCACAUGCAGGCUUCAUCAAGCUGCUGUAUUCCAGUAGCGGUACUUGGUGGGUGCAUCCUGGAGAGAAUCUCUUUCUCUUUCAUAGCCUUAAAGAGCUAAUAGUCUUUUAAAGUUGGGAGGAAAAAUGGAGCUUCCUUGUACAGCCUCAUGGUCUAAGGCUAGAGAAAAUAGUGGCACGAGUGAGUCUUUCUUGAACUAGACAAUUGAUCCUGAAUUCAUUUGUAGGGCUAACAUUAAGUGGGAAAAUAAUUGGGGAAAGCAUUGCAGAACCAUGGCUUGUUCCUCCUGAAAACGGCUUCAUAAGCAAGCCCACAAGCACCACCACCACCACCACUACCAAAGAGUCUCCUAUACUACCACCACCACUACCAAAGAGUCUCCUCCUAUUAUAGUUAUCAGGAUUGGUAGAAGGAUGCUUGUAGACCUGGAAUUGCUUCAUCAAGUGGAUAAUUUAACAUCUCAGAUGGCUUCCAGGAAAUACGUUUUCACUGAUAUGUUUCAGCUAGAGCAAAAAAACCUUGUUGCAUCUGUAGGAAAGAUGGUAGCAGUGGUGGGUUUUUUUGGGGGGUGGGCAGGGGGAGAGAAAGUAGGGAUGUGGCAGAGUGAGGGGGCAGUGAGAUCAGGGGAGCCCCAGGGUUGUGGCGGGAGCCCCACAGGUGUGCACACACCUCCGGGACCACUGUCGCCAACCUGGAGUUCCCAUCAUUGUUGCCACCUAACCCAACCCCACCCCUAUCUUGAUGAGUGCAGUGUGGUUGCUACUUGGAGGAUGCCGUUGCCUCUGCCACAGCCAUGACCCACCAUUGGAAGUGAAUCGUAGUCAGAGACCAAAGCAAGUCUCAUGUAUUAAAGAUGUGCAGUCAUGGGGUAUCCUAUGAACUCGCAUGAGCCAAUGAAGGAAAUGAAAGAGAGCUGCACUGGUUUGAGUAAGACCACUUCCCAUUUUCCCAGUGAUUCUCCAAAGUCUUGGGAAGAGGUUUUGCCUACAUCUUCUGUAUAUUAUUCUUAUCUGCACUUUGAAUAUCAAGACUUCAUUUUUCAUGUUUCUUGGUAGUUUGGGAGUCUUCCUUCCUUCCUUCGCUGCAAAAAAAGUUGAAUGAGUUCUGAAUCCAUUUUUGCCUUUGAGUAAUAUAUGCUACAGGUUGCAAUUUUGUGGUGCACUAGCACUUAAAGGAAAAGUUGGUUGGUCAUUUGCAGUAACUUGUCUGUACCGUACCGAAAGCCUGGGAAAGUAAAAAGGGGGAUGAAGGUUCCUAUUUUCCAGCAGGUAUGUAAGAGGGGAAAUCCAUCUUUCUACUACUGGAUCCUACUGGGUCCAUCUUGGGACAUGUAUUUUACAUGUAAGGUAUCAAUGUAGUUCAUACAGAAACUUAUAAGUUGACAGGAGCUGAGGAGGAUCCAGCUCAAGAUGAUGAUGGUGGUGGUGAUUAAUUUAUUACAAUUUAUUUAAUUUAUUAUGAAUUAAUUUGCUAUCUUCAUGCCUUGUAGAGUGGUACCUCGGGUUACAUACGCUUCAGGUUAUAUAUGCUUCAGGUUACAGACUCCGCUAACCCAGAAAUAGUGCUUCAGGUUAAGAACUUUGCUUCAGGAUGAGAACAGAAAUCGUGCUCCGGCGGCCCGGCAGCAGCAGGAGGCCCCAUUAGCUAAAGUGGUGCUUCAGGUUAAGUACAGUUUCAGGUUAAGAACAGACCUCCGGAACGAAUUAAGUACUUAACCUGAGGUACCACUGUAUAUGUGUUUGCUUAGGGCUUCAUUAGAUACUUUUUCCUGCUUGUUGCUAUUUUCCAUGUUAAAUUGCAUUUUUCUUCAGAAGCAAGAUGUCUGUUGACUUAAGUUUGUUUACAUUCUUUAAAAGUUCUAUUUGUUUAUUUUUAGGUUUAUCACAGGCACCAUCCUCCUCAAAGCUCUCGAAAGGU